GAAAAUUCUAUAAUAUUUUUCACUAUUUUUAGACUUUUGAGCAUUAAAUCAUAUAUCCUUCAAUGGCCUCUACAAAAUUUUCCCUUCAAUCUGUUUUGCUACUUUGCUUGAUUUUGUUUUCCCUACUGGCAUUUCAUCAUUGUAUGUAUAUCUAUUCCUUUUAUAUUUAAUUUUUUUAUUAUUAUUAAAAUUAAAAAAAUAAUAGUAAUGGAACAAUAUUGGAAUAGACUUAUGUAUAGCUAUCAAUUGAAAAAGGUAACAUGUCUUAUUUUUAGUGUUAAUUUCACUUUUUAUGUAUAGCUAUCUAUCCUUAUCGUUUAGUUGAUUUGAGAAUAUUAAUUUUUAAAUUUUAUAUCAUCAGUAUAUAGACAUGAGAUUCUAUAUAUUUUUAUAUUUCAAUUUCAUAAAAUGCAGGUGAUGCAAGUAGAAACAUUAAAACUAAAAGUGAUGCUUGCCUCCAAAUUCCGGAUAAGCCAGGCCAAUGGUGUUGUGUAAUAUUAUUUCAACCUGAAAAAUGUUUUCCUUCUAUUGAUGCGUGUGAAGCAAUAUGUCAGAAGUGACAGAUUUUAAGAGCAAUGAUGUCAAUUAAUUCUAGGACGUAUUAUGAUUUAUUUCAAUAAGUACUUAUGAGUUUGAGUUUUAUAGUGCUAUUUAACUUGAUGUAAAAGUGAAAUAAAAAAAAUUGGCAUUUUCAUUUAUAAAAUUCAAUUAGAAUUAUC
rnacentral:lncRNA from 1 species